AACAGAUUCUGAGUGCACUCGGCAAACAGUUGCUGCUGGCUAAAUAGCCUCUCUAAGUCCUGGGAACCAAAAUUUGAAAAGAAAAAAAACCGUGCGCGCUGCGAUUCCACGGUGGAACACAUCACAACCUGUACGUGCGUUCCACCGCCAGGACCUCCCACCUAGUGCACGCAUACGCCCAUUGUCUGCCCGGCACGGUAUAGACAAAAG